rnacentral:rRNA from 1 species
UACGUAGGGCGCAAGCGUUGUCCGGAAUUAUUGGGCGUAAAGAGCUCGUAGGCGGUUUGUCGCGUCUGUCGUGAAAGCCCACGGCUUAACCGUGGGUCUGCGGUGGAUACGGGCAGACUAGAGGCAGGUAGGGGAGAAUGGAAUUCCCGGUGUAGCGGUGAAAUGCGCAGAUAUCGGGAGGAACACCAGUGGCGAAGGCGGUUGCCUGGAGCUUUGCUGACGCUGAGGCGCGAAAGCGUGGGGAGCGAUCCGG